AGGCAGUAAGAGAUCAACCAAGGAUUUGUAUGCUUGCAUAUGAGCAUUAUCAAUGUACACAGACAGUAGGGUGGUGAAGGCCUGG